GGGCCCGUAGCUUAGCUUGGUAGAGCGCCCGGCUGAUAACCGGGAGGUCGCGGGUUCAAGUCCCGCCGGGCCCA
rnacentral:tRNA from 3 species